rnacentral:rRNA from 2 species
GAUGAACGCUAGCUACAGGCUUAACACAUGCAAGUCGAGGGGCAGCAUGGAAGGAGCUUGCUUCUUCUGAUGGCGACCGGCGCACGGGUGCGUAACGCGUAUCAAACCUGCCUCAUACUCGGGGAUAGCCUUGCGAAAGUAAGAUUAAUACCCGAUGUUAUUAGUUCAUCGCAUGGUGGAUUAAUCAAAGAUUUAUCGGUAUGAGAUGGUGAUGCGUCCGAUUAGGUAGUAGGCGGGGUAACGGCCCACCUAGCCUUCGAUCGGUAGGGGUUCUGAGAGGAAGGUCCCCCACACUGGAACUGAGACACGGUCCAGACUCCUACGGGAGGCAGCAGUGAGGAAUAUUGGUCAAUGGACGCAAGUCUGAACCAGCCAAGUAGCGUGCAGGAUGACGGCCCUCCGGGUUGUAAACUGCUUUUAGUUGGGAAUAAAAAAAGGGACGUGUCCCUUAU